rnacentral:lncRNA from 1 species
CUCGGGCCAUGGGCAGAGCCGUGGACAUGGACCGCGGUCAAAGUGAACGCAUCCCUGGGCCCUGGGUUCAUGGGCGCGCAGGCAGUGGUUCUCACGCUCCGCUUCCUUGGGGUCACCCAGGCGCCCUCACUGUCUGGGAUUCUCAGCAGCAAAGUCCCCAGGAGGGCGGGGCAGGGUCGUGUCGUGGCCCUCGCAGCACAAGCAUCUGGGAACUCAGCCCCCGCGCACGUCCCUGGGUGGGGCCCAGCGGUCGUGCAUGAGUGCUCACCGUUUACCUCUGCGGCUUCCAGAGACACACUGCGCUCUCUAAACACGCGAGGGUGGAAUCCAACACCAGUGGCCCGGCCUUCCAGGCUUUCCUCCCCCACUGGCCAGACUUUCUGUGUCCAUACCGUUCCGGUAGGGUCUUCCAGCAGCCACACCAGCAGCAGGGGCAGGCCGCUGGCUGACCAGCCAAGGCAGAGCCCUUCCCCACGGUGACAUCGAGGUCGAUGCAAAAGGAUUCUUCUGUACAGACUGUAGGCACCCAAGACGACCCUGGACAGACCAGCCGAGCGGGAUGUGCCGUCUGCACAGGCUCGCAAGGCCCUGCAACACCGCUGCGUUGACCGCACGUCCACCUCAGUCGUGGCACCAAGGUCACGCCCCACAAAUCCCGUAAUAGACUGGAGCCCAGCCCAAAGGGUGACGGAGGGAAGCACUCUACAGCCAGUCUUUCCCCCCAGAUUCCAACUCGGGCGGCCCGCUGCCCCAGCCCUACCUCGGCCGCCGGGCUGGCCCCUUCCUCUGCCAGAACCCAGUGUGUCACUGCAGCGCACCCCAUGGUGCCAGAAUCUCAGGCUGCUGGCUAUAGGACUGGGCGCAGGAGUGCUUGGCCUGGGCCUCAUUCCCGGCCGGGAAGAGCAGGGUCCGUGGCAGGGGGCGCAUGAGCCCACGGGAGGACCGGCCCCUCGUGCUGUGGGAAGGACAACGACCCGCUCUGCCCCCACUGAGGCCUGUGGGCUGACCACCCUGGCAGCACAGAGCUGAAUGAGGCCUCUGCCCAGACAGUGUGGACGGCCGGCCAGGAGUGAAGGGGGUUCCCCCGACAAUCUACCGAACGCCUGGGUCAAGCCCACUUCUCCAGCCCUCGGCUGUGUCCUGGGGACCCUGGGAUGUCGCUCAACAAGUUAGCAGUUUUCACGAGUCACAGAGCGUUUCCAGUAGGAUGUUGAUCACAGCACAGAAUUCAGAGAACCUCCCUCCACUGUUCCCACUGAUCCAUCUACACGAAUGCUGAGAAUUAGACGGCAAGGAGAGGCCGCCCCAGAGCAUGAACGUGGGGACCCAGGGACGGCGACCUGGCUUGCCCUGCCAGUUGGAAAGACAGAGGGGAUGAGGCCACAUUCUGCCGCCCUGCAGACCCCUGGUCCAGGCUGGUGAGUCCAAGAGCUGAUGGAUGCCCUCUGAGGAGAGGCCUUGCAUGAUGGACUAGUGGACACCUUGUUUUCCAAGCUGCCAGUCCAGCCUCUCCUUGCUGAGCUCAGCAGUGAGUACACCCUGAAAUCUGGGAGUCGGGGACCCACAGUGAGGGCCCCAUCCCAGAGCACCUCUC